UCCGUGUUCACCACGGCAGUCUCCUUAGAGAGCCCAACUGAAUGCUGGCAACUAAGGACAAGGGUUGCGCUCGUUGCGGGACUUAACCCAACAUGUCACCACACGAGCUGACGACAGCCAUGCAGCACCUGUCACUUUGUCGUAUUGCUACGAAAGCCGUAUCUCUACGGAUGUCAAAGGAUGUCAAACCCAGGUAAGGUUUUUCGCGUUGCUUCGAAUUAAACCACAUGAUCCACCGCUUGUGCGGGCCCCCGUCAAUUCCUUUGAGUUUUAGUCUUGCGACCGUACUUCCCAGGCGGGGUACUUAGUGCGUUAGCUCCGACUCAGCAGGGGUCAAAUCCCACCAAGUCUAGUACCCAUCGUUUACAGCGUGGACUAC
rnacentral:misc_RNA from 1 species